UUAGUCACCAAGGUGAUGGGUCGUCUCUAAUUUACAAACUGUAACUACAGUAUUUUUCAAUAAUCACUAAUUCUGUGAAGAUUUCUGAUUUACAUUGAUAAUUGGAUUUAUCGUAACCCAAAUUAAUCUUAGAUGAACAAUGACUACCUAACCAGCCAAUAUUGAUCAACAAUUUUAGCAUUUUCAGCCUGGGAAAUGCAACUGUUCAUUAAUAUGCUUUAAUCUUAAAUCUAUAUCAAUGUGCAGCUAGCGACAACCACAUUUUUGGAUUGAAGAUGGGUUAGUGUUAUAACAACUGUUCAACUGAUUUCCUCAACAAUUGAUCUCAAAAUUAAUCAAAUGUUUGUCAAUGGAAAAGGAAGCAAAAUUGUGAUGAAUGACACCUGAACAUGGCAAAGGAACUGGAGUUUGGAUUGACAAAGAAAAAUCAAAUCAAGAAAUGAUAAACUGUUUAUUAGAUCCAAUAAUUGUGUUUGCUAAUAAAGCCAACUUGACGAGGUGUUAAUGAAGAUGACAAUGGACAGCAAAAAAGAUUCAUCAUUCCAGAGAGUUGACUGUUUUCUCUAUUCUCUGAUAAAUGAACAAUUUUACAAUUAUAUUUGAAAUUAUGGGAAUCAUAAUAUUGUAGUGAUUAAUGUGUAUUAAUAGGCUAAGCAGAUUAACUUGGUUUGGAUCACAAUUUGAACCUCUUAUCAACACUAAUUCAUACUGACAACAGGCAAAAUAACAACAAGCAUUCUGGUGAAAUUUGAUUGCAAAGCAAUUUGAAUCAACUUGAUUCCUGUGAAUAUUAACACCAUUUAUUGUGUCUAUUAUUUGCUUGCAAUGACUAUAGCUAAUACAGAAAUGGUUACAAUAAAGUAACAGCAAUCUCAGUGA